rnacentral:lncRNA from 1 species
UAUCAGUGUUUUUUAUCAUCUAUAUAAUAAAAGAAACUGAAUGUGCAUGAGACUUGAUUUUAAUAUAUGUAGAAUGCCAGAAGAAAUUACAGACAACAAUACUGCUCAGUGCAGUAACCAGACCUAAAAAAAACACUGCUCAAGGCAAACUUUUGGGACAGAGUGCUGCAUACAUGGGCUUAUGCACAAACUGAGAUUUUGCAAGUCAACUGUCAAAGUCAUAAAGAGAGAUCUAUAGUGGACAAUGUUGAACAGAGUUGAAGUCCUGGAAUCUCGGUCAACUGCAGAUAGCAGCAUGGCGUAAAGCAGACGUCUUGUUUCCCAGUCCAAUUUUAGUCAGGUAUUCUUGGUGGUAUGUGACAAAAAAGCCAUUGAGUUUUUUUUUCUUCCUCUUGAAUUCAUACAAUUCAUACAGUCAUAUAGAACCAUGAAAAUGUCAUUUAAGUUUAUAAAAUGUUCAAAAUGAAGUAAUUAUAAAAUUCCUUCAUUCUAAAG